UGCACGCCUCCUAUUGGAGGGCACACGUUCACCGUGACCCUACGGGUUCACUGAAUUCGUUCUCGGUUUUGAUUGCAGCAUCAUGGUGAGUCUGGUGACGAACCCAAGCUUUAUUUCAGCGUCAAUAGGAGGGUUUUACAGAUGAAGUGAUUGAAGUGGUAGUUCAAGAGCAAACGAGAGUUUACAGGUUUGAAUUCAGUUGGACGUUAAAACUAUAUUGAGGCCAUUCUUCCAUUAAUUCACCCCUAUCAACAACCGAACCAGACUCCAUUGUCAGAGAUUCUCCGCUCGGCGUCACUUAACUCGUAAGCGUAAUCUUUCUCUCUCCUUAUUGCAUGCAAUUUGUGAUUGUCUUCGAUGUUUCUUCGGUCAAUCACUUCCAACAAUAAAAUCUUCUUAAAAUUGACCAACUUAUCAACUUUCUCAUCUCUAUUUUUAAACCUUCUCGCUAACUCCAUUUUUGCAUCAAAUUUUGGUUCCUCAUCCUCAUCUUCUCUUCAGACAUUUACAGAUUCGAAGUCCAUCUCUAAUCCUCUAUACUAUUUACUCCCGAGCCCUUAUAAUCCAUAUAAUAUUGUUAACUUCAUCUGCUCAAAGCUGAAAGAUGAUAACGGGAAUCUCACAUCUGUUCAAAAAGACAUUGAAUGGAUUCGUGCGUAUUUGGGUAUCCACGAGAUUUCUAGGGUAUUAUUGAGAUGCCAAUCUGACCCCUUCACUGCUCUCAAUUUCUUUAAUUGGGUAAAAAGUGACCUGGACCUCAAACCAACCGCUCAAAACUACUGUAUCAUCAUUCAUAUAUUGGUCUGGUCCCGGAAAUUCAUUCAAGCAAUGCAUUUUAUCUCUGAACUGAUAAAAUUAGCUAACCCAAGUGAAGAUGCCUUCCGAAAUUUGGUUUUGUCCAGUGAAGUUUGCAAUUGGGAUCCGCUUGUUUUUGACAUGCUCAUCAAGGCUUAUGUCAAGGCCAGUAGGGUUGAAGAAGGCUUCAAAACUUUCAAGGAGACUCUAAAGAUUGGAUUUGCUCCUGAUGUCACUGCUUGCAAUUGUCUUUUGAAUGGUUUGCUGAAGUCAAAUUAUCUUGAUCAAUGUUGGGAAAUCUACCAAGAAAUGGAAACGAUUGGAAUAUUUCCCAAUGCGUAUACAUUUAACAUAUUGACCCAUGUGUUGUGUAGGGAUGGGGAUCUGGGUAAGGUGAAUGAGUUCUUGGAUAAGAUGGAGGAAAAAGGGUUUAUUCCUGAUGUUGUGACGUAUAACACGCUUAUUGAUAGCUUUUGCCAGAAGGGAAUGUUGGAAGAUGCUUUCUAUUUGUAUAAGAUCAUGUAUAGGAGGGGCGUGCCACCGAAUUUGGUGUCAUAUACUUCCUUGAUGAAUGGUCUUUGUAAGAAAGGAAAAGUGAGGGAGGCUCAUCAACUCUUCCAUCGUAUGCUUCACAGAGGGUUGAGUCCAGAUGUUGUUACAUAUAAUUCUCUUAUUUCUGGUUAUUGUAAGGAAGGGAAUAUGAAAGAAUCAAGGUCUUUGUUGUAUGAAAUGAUUCAGAAUGGUUUGUUGCCUGAUAGUUUCACUUGCCAGGUACUGGUACAAGGAUAUGCAAAUAUGGGUAGAUUGCUUUCUUCUUUGAAUUUGGUUGCUGAAAUUCAGAGACUGGGAGUUUCAAUCCCUCAUGAUAUGUAUAGCUACCUUAUAGUUGCUUUAUGUUUGGAUAACCGGCCCAAUGCGGCAAAGUCUCUCUUGCGAAGAACUUUUUCAGAUGGUUAUGAACCAAAUUUGGGGGUUUACAAUUUGCUUAUUGGAUCCUAUUGCAACUGUGAUAAUUUUGACGAAGCAUUGUUGUUGAAGGGUGAGAUGGUCCAGAAGGCUAUAAAACCUGAUUUGGAUACAUACAGGGCUCUUAUAGGUUGCUUGUGUAGAUUAUGCAAGAUUACCGAGGGAGAGUCCUUGUUGGGGGAGAUGGUUGAAAUUGGUCUUUUUCCUGACUCUGUUAUUUGCAGGGCCUUAAUAAUGGGAUAUUGCAAGGAAGGGGAUCUUGAGAAAGCAGAGUCACUACUAAGCUACUUUGCUCAGGAAUUUCAGUUUUGUGAUGUAAAAAGUUGUAAUACACUCAUCCAAGAAUAUUGUGAGAAAGGUGAUGUAACAAAAUCAUUGGAAUUGCAGGAUAGGUUCUUGAAGUUGGGUUUUGUGCCAAAUAGUUUGACAUUCAAGUGUUUGAUACAUGGCUUAGCAAGAACUAGAAAGGAUUGCUAGGAAGCCUCCAGAAUUUGUUGAUGGUGUUGAUGCAUUGGUAUAUGAAGUCUCAUCUUGGCUAUUUUAAAUGAAGCUGGUAAAAACAUCAAUGGAUUUUGCAUUGGAGAAAUUGUCUGGCCCUCUCAAGUGUAGAUCCGAUGAGGCGGUCAACCUUGAAGAAAACUAUCAAAAACUCAAGAUGGAAGAACGUCUCUUAAACAAGAAGAGUCGUGUUGAAAAUGUGAUAGAGGAAUAUAUGCCGUUUCAGAAUCACUGAAGAGUGAAGUUAAAAAAUGGAUUGAAGAUGUCAAUCUUUUUGAAAACAAGCAAGGGAUGUUACGUGUUGAUAUCCAAGAAUACAAUGGAGAGCCUAUUAGACGGUUUGAUAUUUUGCAACGUGUGCAGCUUGGAAGCUAAGGCGUGUAGUAACUCAGUUGAAAGAGAUUGCUAGGCUUCAAGAGGAAGGCAAGUUUGAAGAAAGGAUGGCAAUCAAUGCACUCCCAGUCCCACGUAGAAUAUAAUUGAGCCAAUGUACGGUUUGAUAUUUUGCAACGUGUGCAGCUUGGAAGCUAAGGCGAGUAGUAACUCAGUUAAAAGAGAUUGCUAGGCUUCAAGAGGAAGGCAAGUUUGAAGAAAGGAUGGCAAUCAAUGCACUCCCAUUCCCACGUAGAAUAUAAUUGAGCCAAUGUUUGCACCAUUAGUGAAAAGUGGGACUGGGACUAGGACUACUUCAACAGAGUGUACUGUACAGAAGAUAUUGGGAUGCCUCAAAGAUGAUAAAUUCUGGAAGGUUGGAGUAUGGGGAAUGGGUGGGGUGGGUAAGACUACUACAGUCAAGAUGUUACACAAUUUACCAGUAAUAAAUUGAAAGACAUGUUCGAAAUUACUAUCUGGGUAACAGUGUCCAAAGAUGGGGAUGUGAGAAAGGUACAAGAUCGAAUUGCUCAACGAUUGAAUUUGAAUUUGAGUCUGGGUAAGGGUGAACAAUCUCAUGAUGGUGAAGUUACGUUGCAAGAAGAUGGAUACUACAAACAUUGUUAAGCAAGAAGUGGUUGCUGAUUUUGGAUGAUAUGUGGGACAAAGUUGACUUGGAAGAUGUAGGAGUACGUCCCUACACAGAGCAGAAGAAAUGGAUCCAAGAUAGUAUUAACAACUCGAUCCCGAAAAGUCUGUAACAAUAAAAUGGAGACUGAUGGAGAUAUCAAAGUGGAUGUUUUGCCCGAGGAAGAAGCAUGGGAUCUGUUUCGAGAAAUAGUUUCGGAAGUUGUGGAUGCUCCAGAGGUACGAAGCAUUUCCCAGAAAAUAGUUGAGAAGUGCAAAGGUUUAUCACUUGCCAUUAAGCUAAUCGGUGGGUCAUUGAGAAAGCAAGGGAUAUGGAAUACUCACGUGUGGAAGAAUGCACUUAAUGAACAAGUAUGAGAUUAUUGAUGAUAUGGAGGAGUCCGUCUUCAAGAUUUUGAAGUUCAGUUUUGAUCGGUUAAGGAGUGCAAACCUGAAGAAUUGCUUCUUAUAUUGUGCAUUAUCUCCAGAAGAUCAUUUUAUCUUAAUUGAGGAAUUGAUAUAUUAUUGGUUUGGGGAGGGUUUUAUUAAUGAUGAUGGAAUGCAAAGCUUGGACGAUGCAAUUAAUAGAGGGUAUGCUAUAGUGGAUGAGCUCUGCAAUGCCUCUUUGUUGGAGUUAAUGGAGGAUUGGGACAAGAAUAAAUGUGUGAAGAUGCAUGUUGUACAUGAUUAGAGACGAUCUAGCAUUGAAAAUCACAUCAUCAUUUUCCUCGGAUAAUUCUGAUAGUGAUAAGGGAGAAAGUGGUGAUAGGUUCUUGGUAUGCUAUAGUGGUAAGAGCAAGAUUGGUUAUUAAGGAACACCUCCUUAUGUGGAGGAAUGGAAACAGAAACAAAGAAUCUCAUUGAUGCACAAUUACAACCUUGGUAAUUGUCUACCCGACACUCUUGACAUUGUUGCUCCAACGAAAUGAAAUGCUGAAGCAAAUCCCAGAGUCAUUCUUUGAACACAUGCAUGCAUAAGUUUCGAGUUCUAGACAUAUCAGGUACUGAUAUAGAUGAUUUACCGCCCUCUGUUUCAUUCCUUCGAGGGUUAUAUGCAAUGUGUACAAGGUUGCGUACAUGUCCAUCCCAAAUAGGGUAUCUCAACAGACUUGAAGUGCUUCAUCUUGGAGAUAGGAUCGACCAUUUGCCGACAGAAUUCACUAAUUAUAAAUCUUUUUAUAUUCAUUUAAUAAAUUGUUAAUUAGUUAAACAAACUCUCAUAUUCAUGGUAAAAAUGGUUAAUUGUCAUUUUUUAGAACUCAA